AGAAGAAGCGAAAAACAGAGUUUAGGCCCGUGGGCAAAGUUACGGAACAGAAGAUAAUUGAGAAUGGGCCUUAAGGGCCUGUUUUGCUAGGCUGUCUGCGACCCUGUUCUGUGAACGAGGGAUGAGACGGAAGUCGAUUGUAGCAAAGCGAGACAAGAGGCGGUGGAUGUCCUGGAGAACACCGUAGAGCUCUGUGAUCUGGUUUUUGGUGGUGAUAGCUCGGAUGAGCGUUGAGCAAUCGGAGAGGAUGGUGAUCGUUGUGAAUCCUGCUUCUAGCGCCUUCUCGAUUCCUCUUCGGAGAGCUAGUGAUUCAGCUAAAAGAGGGGAACUAACCAACGCGAUCAUCUGUGCUCCUGUGAAUGGUGAUUCUGAUCGAUCACCUGGAAAGAAGCAAGCUAGCCCUGCUCGCUUCGUGGAGGCGUCCCAAGCAGCAUCGACAAAACAAGAAAACUCCGGUGGUGAUCUCGUAGCGUUUCGGGGUUCACUUCUCGAAGAUCGAGUUGCCUUGUCUUCAAAGAUGAGUUUAUUACGGGCUGUCCAGAGAGUCCAACAGAUCCAAGGGAGGACGGGUGAGACUACACCUGAUGGGGGGAGGCAGAGGGCUUGUCUGAAGCGAACCAAAGCCCCUUUAAAGUCAACGCCCUCAGCUAUGUGAACUGGGGUGGCUAGAGGGAUGUGGCUCCAGACUUCUUUGGCAAAUGGACAGUGGAAGAAAACAUGUGUUGCUGAUUCCACUGCUUUACACCGAGGGCAGAGCGCAGCAGAGUUCAUUCCCCUUCGUUGGAGUUCCACUCCUAAAGGUUCUGUUGAUUGGUUGCAGCAAGAACAUUGGGAGUGACCAUCUGUGGGGGGGGUUGUUACUGCAUUAUACCCGGAUUUCGUUGAAUAAACCCCCGAGUCAUGUUUGAGCCAGACGUAGGUGUCUUCUGCUCCUUCCUUGCUGGGGUGAAGGCAUUGGAUUUGCGAACUGAACUCCGGUAGGAAUUGUUCUAUUCUGCUCUUGUUCCAUUGAAGGUCAUCAGUAAGGAAGUCCGAGACUCUCAGGUCAAGGGCUGCUUCAGAUUCUCCCGCAGUAGUUCUCUUCCAUAGAGGAUGCUUCUCCAACCGUGUGAGCAAACCGCUGGGAUAGGAGCAUCAAGGAAGCUUCUCUUGUGGCAGUACUUCCCCGUUAGUACUCGUGCCAGCAGACAGUAAGAGACUCACCGGUAGCUGGAAACAGGACAUUGAAUACGUGGGAAUGGCUGUGAGGACCGCCUUCAACAUGGUGAGCUUGCCAGCUCUUGAAAGAAAGCGUGUAGACCAGUUUGAAGCUCUCUGUCUGAUUCUAUCCACUAUUGAGGUGAAUAGAUCUUUUUUCUUUCUCCCGAAAUGCUCUGACAAACCUAAAUAUUUACCCACACCUCCUUGUUU